rnacentral:rRNA from 1 species
UACGUAGGCAGCAAGCGUUGUUCGGAGUUACUGGGCGUAAAGAGUGUGUAGGCGGUUCUCUAAGUUUGGUGUGAAAUCUCCCGGCUUAACUGGGAGGGUGCGCCGAAAACUGGAGAGCUUGAGUAUGGGAGAGGAAAGCGGAAUUCCUGGUGUAGCGGUGAAAUGCGUAGAUAUCAGGAGGAACACCUGUGGUGUAGACGGCUUUCUGGACCAUCACUGACGCUGAGACACGAAAGCGUGGGGAGCAAACAGG